GACAACUCUAUCAACAGUUCUUAAAUCUGUGGCUGCCUUACAGGCUGAUCACUUUUGCAGCCAAAUUCAUGCAUUUUCUGUGAAAUCAGGGUUUGAAUCUGACAAUUAUGUUGCAAACAGCCUUAUUGAUGCCUAUGGAAAAUGUGGUUAUAUAGAAGCUGCAACCCAAGUGUUCAAAGAAAGCCCAGUUGUAGAUUUGGUGGCAUUCACAUCUAUAAUAACAGCUUAUUCUCAAGAUGGACAAGGUGAAGAAGCUCUAAAGCUCUAUCUGGAAAUGCAGUACAAGGAUAUCAAGCCA
rnacentral:misc_RNA from 1 species